CUGACUGGCAGCAGCUACCCAGGGCUUCGGACAGUAGACUUCUCAACCGUACCUGAAGAUGCUGUGAGUUCAGCCUGGAACCUUCUGCAUGCAAACCAUGCAGUCUACUGCAGAGCUAUGUCCCACUCCCAAUUUCUUCAUCAAGAUUUCUGAUUUAUGGUUUCUAAGGUCUUUGGUGUUGACUAAUGAUGGCUGCCAUGUCUUGUUUUCAUCUUGCAAGAUUUCCAGAUAUUGGCCUGGAUAGAGUUACCCCCAAUAAAUGAUAGACUUCAUCUGGGGAAAUUCUACCUCUGGCACCAUACCCUAAAGAAUAUCAUUUUCUGCAAUUGCCUCUGUACUAUGGAAUGCCCUCCUUCCCUCUGCCAUAUGUGUAGCAGGCAUCCAUCAUUUGCUUUGGACAUCUUGUAAAGAGAUAUCUUUUUUGCCCAGGCUUUCUCUGAUCCUGUUUUUAUCUGUCUGGAUUCCCCGAAUUCCUGUUUUUAUUUGCUUUUGUAUGCUUUAUGCUACUGUUUUACUGGUUUUAUGUUGCAUUUCUGUUUUAAUGAUAUGGUUUAUUGUCUUAUGUUGUAAACCACAUGGAGAUUUCUUAAAAUAUUAAGUGGUUUACAAAUGCUUUUAAAUAAAUUAGAUGGAGCGAUGAUACAUAGACAUUUAGGGAGUUAGUUGUUUCCUUGUGGUUUAAUGGUAACUUUUUAUGUUUUAUAAUAUCGGUUCAUUGAACUGCUUUCUUGCGCAUUGCCUGGAGCAGCUGAAUUUGCCUUAUGUUUAUCUACAAAUAAAUGAUUUUGCUAAAUAAAAUUGCAAAGCACCCUUGCAAGGGCAGAUUCUGCUGACCUCCACCCAGCUGUAUUCUCUGCAGUGGAGAGGACAGUUUGUUUGUUUUUCUAUGAUAUGAAAACUGAGAAUCACGAGCAGCCAACCACACAUCUACGACUGCAAUGGGAACAACACAAAACAGAGCCUGCAAAACUUUGAAAGGGUGGUUUAAGGUGCUUUUGGUCAUCCAGGCAAAGAUGACCCAUUGCGCUUCCUUGCUCAAAGCCAGAGCUUCUGUUAAUACUAUUAGAGCCAAAGUUUCGGAUUUCAGAUGAGGCAUGUUGGCAAUUACAGGCUGAAACGGAUGCCCUUGAGAAUGUGGGUCAAGUAUUCAGGGCUCCAGUUUCAUGGUCAAGGGGAUCACAAGAGACAGCGACCUAAGAAGAACAGGAAGAUCUCUUCAAUGACCAAAUAUCUACACAGAGGGCAAGGGAAACGAUGAUGGAGGAGAAACAAAAUAUUUAAACUUGGCUUCUGGUCUGGCAAAUGGUACACAUCUCUAUUAAACAAGAUUACACACAACUUGCUGGACCAGGCCAAGGUGGGUGGGUGCAGACCAGCUAUGAAAUGUUCCUGGUCUAAGCCAUCUUGGUGGGAUUUAUCUCCUGGGAGGUGGGAGGUGAAGGAUUGUACUGAAUACAUAAAUGAACAGAGCUUGCUUCCCACAGCAGCCAACCAAAUUCCUCUGUGAUGCGUUCAAGCGGGGCAGCGGAAUGUAUGAAUCAGUUGAUUUCAGUUUCUCCCUGUUUUCAUGUUUUCCCACCUUAACUUUGUAAUAAGAAUUGUAAGGUCUUAUAUAUAUAAUAAAUGUUCAUAAAUGUACCAAGCAAACAUGUACAUAAAUAUAUAAACCUCAUUUCUGAAGAAGCACAGGAAGACAGUCCUGAAACCAUUUUGACUCCCAAACUGACCAAAUGUUUUCUCUGCAAGGAGGGAGGGGGUGAGGGAACCUUCCCAUUGUCUCAGGAAUUGGGAAAUCACCAUCUCAAAGGAAUGGCCAAACUACCAGGAAAGGCAAUCAGAUAAGGCAUUAUCAGAUAACCUGGCAGACAGGAAAAACAACAACAUUCAAAUUUCAGUUGUAGACUGCCUUUUCUGUGGUGUAGGUAGGAUGUUUGUGGGGGGUGGUCUUGGGCUACACCCCUUCUGUGAUGUAUGUAUGAUGUAUGGAGGGAUGGUCUUGAGCUCUAGGGCAGGGAAUUUCAAAAUGGCUAUAUAAGGGCAAGUACA